rnacentral:lncRNA from 10 species
CUUCCUCCUUCCUUUGUUAUCCUCUGCCUUUGCCUCUUUUGAAAAGUUCUAAGUUGCUAGCCGAUCAGGACAAAUACAGAAUGUGAGGUCCCCUUCCAGACAACAGACACCGGACACAGCAGUAGCGUGGACGCGUAAAGUUAUAAAUGACCCUGUCUCCUUUGUUCAGUGUACUCUUGUGGCAAAACUGCUGGCGAGUGUACCCUUUCUGCAGAAAGUAAAAAUGGCCUUGCUGAGGUAGUUAAAAUUUAUGUUCAAGUGCUAUUUCUUUACAGCACUGGGGAAGAAGCAUUUCUAACAGGAGCCUGCAUGCUGAGGAUGGCAGAGGAAAAAGACAGAGCCAUACUGAGCCCUUGGAGAUGCCACUGAGGAGCUACGCUAACCAAUCCUGGAGGCACCAUAACCUAGGACUUCUUCUUAUACAAGGAUGCUAGAGAGCAGUCUUCAGCCUGAGACCCAUCUCUAGAGUCUUAAUACCUUUAUUUUAUGCUAUUGACAGCUUCUAACAACUCAGUAUACUCCUAUGAACAAAAUUUGGAGCAUAUUUGUUUCUCUCUACCUGAUUUCUUCAGACUGUGGAAACUAUUUGAAACAACUGGAGAAACGUUAUUUCACCAAGGCUUUGACUGGAAUGUUGUGCUUUUUUUUAAGGAAUCAAACUUGACUUAUGGAUCCAAUAAAGCCCUUGGAAAAACUGGCCUCAUAUUUUGUGUAAACAGUCCCCGUACAGGGUUUCUGACUUGUGGACAUGAGACUUCACAGCCUGCUAAAAAUAAGCUUUUGGGACCUACCCAUUUAGGAAUAAACAGUCCUAGCCUUGAGAGAUCAGAUGAAAUCUGAGGCCAGAGACUCAUUUUCUUCUAAAAUGCUUUCUCCAAAAGAUUUUUAAAUAGAAAAGAGGGGAAAUGUGAAAGGAAAAUGUCUUCAGCCCCUUCAAGCUGGGAACUCUCAGUACAAAUCUGUCUCUCAUUCUAUUCAAAGUCAUUUCUCUGCUCAGAGAUAGAUGCAUAUUCUGAUUGCCUUCUUUGGAAAGACUUACCAGAAACUCAAAAGAAUGCAACCAUCUGUCUCUCACCUACCUGUGACCUGGAAGCCCAUAGGGUAAAGGGGGCUUGCUUUGAGUUGUCUCUACUUUUCUGAAUGGAAUGAAUGUACUUCUUACAUUUAUUGAUUGAUGUCUCAUGUUUCCCUAAAAUGUAUAAAACCAAUCUGUGCCCCGGCCACCCUGGGCAUGUGUUGUCAGGACUUCCUAAGGCUAUGUCACAGGUGCAUCCUCAACUUUGGCAAAUAAACUUUCUAAAUUAACUGAGACCUCUCUCAGAUUUUCUGGGUUCACUAUUCCUACUUGGAAAAUUGUCGAUAU